rnacentral:tRNA from 1 species
UGGGGGAUAGCCAAGUCAGGUUAAGGCUACGGACUCUGACUCCGUGAUCGAAGGUUCAAAUCCUUCUCCCCCAGCCA